AUUGAACGCUGGCGGCAGGCCUAACACAUGCAAGUCGAACGGUAACAGGAAGCAGCUUGCUGCUUCGCUGACGAGUGGCGGACGGGUGAGUAAUGUCUGGGAAACUGCUUGAUGGAGGGGGAUAACUACUGGAAACGGUAGCUAAUACCGCAUAACGUCGCAAGACCAAAGAGGGGGACCUUAGGGCCUCUUGCCAUCGGCUGUGCCCAGAUGGGAUUAGCUAGUAGGUGGGGUAACGGCUCACCUAGGCGACGAUCCCUAGCUGGUCUGAGAGGAUGACCAGCCACACUGGAACUGAGACACGGUCCAGACUCCUACGGGAGGCAGCAGUGGGGAAUAUUGCACAAUGGGCGCAAGCCUGAUGCAGCCAUGCCGCGUGUAUGAAGAAGGCCUUCGGGUUGUAAAGUACUUUCAGCGGGGAAGAAGGGAGUAAAGAUAAUACCUUUGCUCAUUGACGUUACCCGCGGAAGAAGCACCGGCUAACUCCGUG
rnacentral:rRNA from 1 species